AUAAAAGUCAAUUGAUUCGAACUAUAUACAUAACAUGUUCUUCACAUAAAACUACUUCCAACCAACGUAGUCAACAAGUCAGGUGGAACCCCAAAAGUUUAAGGUGCAUUUCUGCAAAGAAGUGACAACUAAAGAGCUAAUGUGGUGUUAGUAGAAAGAGAGAUGUGGCCAGUUUGAUUUAGCAACAUGCAAAGACAACUCGGUUGUUGGCUAUAGAGUUGUUUGAGGGGACUGAAGCACUUCUCUGUCGGCGAGUGCGAUUUGCGCUACACGAACAGUCCACAAGGAGCCAAUUAAAGCAGGAGCCUCUCACAUGAUGACAUGAUACAGUCUGCAGUACUACACUGUGAAUUCAAAUCUUGGAACAUAUUCAAAGAAGAGGUCAUCAAAAGCUGAACUAGAGUCUGAUGCACAACCUUAUGAACAACCUUUGUUGAUGUUAUUCCUUACCACAAUAGACUCGGAGCAAAUGGACUUGUCCAACGUUUUGAACAACAUAUUUCAGUUGUGUUUGUAUCAUCAGCCUCACCCUAGCGCAUAUGUUGAAUAGUUGUUUUAUGCACUUUUUUAGAAGUAGUUCAACUCUCUUACCUGAGUUGAGUUUAAGAUCUGAGGAUUAGAUGAGCCAUUUUUUAGGCAUUC